UUUUUUUUUCUUCUCUCUUUUUUUUACUCACACUUUUUUUUCUUUCUCUUUUUUUUUCUGACUUCUUUUUCUUUUUUUUGUCUGUCUUUUUUUUCUCUCCCUCUUUCCAAGACAAACUAGAUAAGAUGCAGAUUGGAUCAAGCGAAGAUGUGAACGACCUCAACUAUGAUUGUGACAAUGAACUAUGGGUAGCACAUGGUGGAAUUUGAUGGAUGGUGUGGUGGACAGCAGAAGGGAUAACGAUGCAGCGGCGACGUGACUAAUGUGAACAGAACUCGAAACUCUAAACGAACUAGACCCUAAGACCAGCAACUCGACACGACGAUGCAACCGAUAAUUCAAUAAUGCAAACAAUGAAUAGAAAAUUGCAAAGGCUCAGACUGGCUUGGACAAAAGGAUGAAUAGAUCUAACUUUUUUGUGGCUUUUUCUUGGACAAUAGGUAAGAAAAAUAAAUCUAAUCUAGGGGAAACUGGAAAUUCUCACCGAGCAACUUGAAAACUGAUACCACUUGAUAGAGGCGAGGGUGUCCCGAUCUUUCGAUGAGAUGAUAACUAUCGAUUUGGUGGAGACGACUUUGACGAUCCGACUACAAACGUGCACGACGUUGCGCCUUAUCAAUCGCUAAACCAAUCUCCUGAGGUUACUGACGAUGCCGGAAGCACGAUCAGCCUGACCACGAAGGUCUAUUCCUGCAAGCAAUCGAAGAACGAGCAAGAAUAUGAUAAUGCAAUCUGAAUAUUGCGAAUAUAUAUGAAGUAUUGAUAGUGGUGGGAAUCCGUAAGCGGUCUUGGUCUGGUCGUUGGACACAAACGAAGUACACGAAGUUGCAAUGGCUAACUUUUAACUAAACAAAUUCCCAGGAAAAAGCUACUAGAUGGAUCUACUUAUAUAGGAGCAAGGGGUGGCGGCCAAGGAGGUGGGAGGACGUCCCAAGGCAGCCUAAAACCAACCCUAGGUCGUACAAGGCUCAUGGGCCCAAGUGGAGGUGAUGCAACACCUUUGGACUUGUAGUUUGACUCGGAUUCUGGUGCAACGUCAGAUUGUUUCGACCAUAACUCAAUGCUCCGGACGAAUUUAAAGGUGAAUCCAAUUGGGUUGGAAAGAGCACGAAAUCUAGUUUCCAACAAAAAAAUAAUCACCCAAUUCGGAGUCCGUAUGAAAAAGUUGUUGGCGUUUUGAGUCAGGUAUGUCUGUGCAGUCCGAAUCUGAAUCCAGAACGUGAGAGACUUGGACUCUAUCUUCUCUUGGCCCAAAAGUGACGUGAGAGGACUUUUUGAACAGAACCUAAACUUCUCCUUUUUCCCUAUCUUCAUAUGUGGAUUGUACAAAUGUCCCAUACACCUGCAAUUAGACAAAACACAAAAGUGUGUGAAGUAUUUUUGUUCUGGAUAACAUAAAUAGAUUAUUGAAUAGUUUGCACUAGAAAUCACCUGACAAAUAUGCAUGUAUGCAAUAUUUUUGGUCGUAUCCAAGGUAGUCAUGUCCUCAUCAUCCUCCCCUUCUUGAAAACAAAGCCGUCCUCGGCGUUGCUUAAUCUGAAAUCUGGCUAACAAAAGAGACAAGGUGUACACGUUGUAUAUGUACAUGUCAUCCGUUUUUACUGAUCUCAUUUGGUGCACAUGUGACUCAGUUAUACAAGAGCGCCCUUCAAAAGUCGUGAAAUGUAAAGUCAAUAUAUUAUCACAAGAAGUCAAAGGCAUGAAAAUAUUGCAACUCAGUUUGCACAUAUAAGUGAAGCUCUUAUUCAUAUCAAAAGAUUGACAAUGCUUAUCAUUAAACCAUCCCAACAUUGAUGAACCAUCACCAAGAUUAGAGGUCAUAUCAAAAUGAUUAAACAUUGGCACAAUUAUUUUCAAACAUAUUUGAUCCAAAUCUGAUUUAUUCCCUGAUUCACUUGAUUCUUUUGCAUCGAUAGUUAAUUCAAUGGGCUCACUCAAAAUUGUUUGAUCACAUGGCAAAGUCAAAUCAUCAACAUAGUCCUCUAAGGUAGCUGGUGUGAUCAAAGUAGUGGGUAGCUCACCGCAUGGUGCACUUAAAUUGACAAGACAUUCAUCAUACUCAUGUGGAAGUGGAAGAUUAGUACCUUUGUCAUUACCUCUUAUGAUCAACUCAGAUGAGGUAGGCACUCUCGGUGAUGAUGUGUCACAUGGUGGAGGUGAUGUAGUCCUCACAACAACGGAUGUGCUUGUCAUAGUAUGCUUAGUAGUUGAAGGGACAACUGUAUCAACUCUUGGAAUGUGCAUCUCGCGCUUGUUCUCCUUGUGCGCAACACGUCGUUUUAUUUCCUGUUCAGCUUUGCAAGCAAGAUGAAACAAAUGGUCCAUAGGAUAACACUCUUCAUGUAUUAGUAUCUCCUGAAUGUCAAGAUUUAAUCCUCCCCAAAAUCUAUCCAUAAAAUCUUCUUCACUUUCUUCUAAAGAGGAAUGCAGCAAGGUAGUUUGUAAAGUAUCAUAAUAUUUCGUUACGGUGUCACUACCUUGUUUUAAAUGUUGCAACUUUGUAAUCGUGUCACGAGUAUAAUAAGCGGGAACGAAUGUAUGUCGCAUGGCAAGUUUCAAAUCAUCCCAAGUAGUAGGUAUAUCAUUAGGGUGUAACCGACAAUAUUCACUCCACCAAACUACAGCAUAACCAGUGAAAGAACCAACCGCAACCUUAACUUUUUUACGUACAUCAAAAUUAUUGGAAGCAAAUAUAUUAUUUAGGUCAAACUCCCAUUCAAUAUAUAAAGCAGGUCUAAAACGGCCAUUAAAUGGUGGUAUAGAAACAUUAACCUGAUCAUGUGCAUUUGGAUGUUUGUGCACCUCUCGUGACGGUUGUGGUAUUUGCAUAGGUGAUGGCACAUCUCCCACGAUCGACAAACCCCAUGAAUUAACUCUAGAUCCUGUCAUGAUUAGUAGAAACAAGAAACAAAAUUCAAGAAUAAUGUUCCUAUGAACUACUAGGAUGUGGUGGUAAAGCGCUCACAGUAAAGCAAAUAUCAAUAUCUUACAAGUUCUUACCAAGCAGCAGGUGGUGACAGGCAACCAGCGGUGUCAAAUAACUCCAAAGAUUGAGUAAAGCGAUUGCCAGGGGAACGUACGUAUACACGGUGUAGAAAUAUGUGGAGCUGGGUUGGCUAUAUAUGGUAGCAAAAUAUUAGCAAUAAUCAAUUCAGAGAUGCAAUGUUGAAUAAACGCUCAACGACGGUACUGUGCUGGUCCUAGGCUAGACCGGACUAGAGACGCGAGCCUAGAACACUAAUGAGGUCACGGCAUAGCACAACUAGCAUCAAUGAAGGAUACUAAGUAGCUCUGGACAGCAAGAUAUAAUUGAAGAUCACAACGGCAGUAAAGAUAAUGAUGAAAAACAACUGCCAAGCAGGAUAUACAACAACUCUCUCCAACUUUCCUCUUGAAAAGUUUGUGCCAAUUUUCUGAUAAUUUUUUUCAAAGAAUGCUACUAACUCAAGCUUUCCAAUGCAAAAAGAAUCUCUCAAUUCCGAGUUGAUAUGAGGAGUGAAAGAAUUCUGAAACUGGCUUGAAAAACUGGAAUCAGUUGUGUCCGCGAACUUCGGAGGGCAAAAAGACCUAUUUAGAAGACGAUUUUGAGGUGUCAAAUAUUGAACUAGUCUCUGCAACUAUUUAGAUGCGGCUCGUCGCUAGCUUUCAUUUGAGUACUCGCGGAGUCAAACGGACUUCGUAUGAGGAAGGUAUGCCUGUUUUACUAAACAGUGCACAAAACAGAUUCCAAUCCGAAUUCAACUACGAGAUUGAGUCUAGAUAGAUCCGAAUUUUGUUUUUUUCUUCUCUUUUUUUUCCUCACACUUUUUUUUCUUUCUCUUUUUUUUCUGACUUCUUUUUCUUUUUUUUCUCUCUUUUUUUUUCUCUGUCUUUUUUUUCUCUCCCUCUUUCCAAGACAAACUAGAUAAGAUGCAUAUUGGAUCAAGCGAAGAUGUGAACGACCUCAACUAUGAUUGUGACAAUGAAAUAUGGGUAGCACAUUGAUGAGGACAUCAAUACCAUUGUUACACCCACAGCCCCUGCUGCUAUACAUACUGGACCAAUUACUAGAGCUCGCGCACGCCAAUUAAAU
rnacentral:lncRNA from 1 species